rnacentral:rRNA from 1 species
AUUGAACGCUGGCGGCAUGCUUUACACAUGCAAGUCGAACGGUAACAGGCCGCAAGGUGCUGACGAGUGGCGAACGGGUGAGUAAUGCAUCGGAACGUGCCCAGUCGUGGGGGAUAACUACUCGAAAGAGUAGCUAAUACCGCAUACGAUCUAUGGAUGAAAGCGGGGGACCGUAAGGCCUCGCGCGAUUGGAGCUGCCGAUGUCAGAUUAGGUAGUUGGUGGGGUAAAGGCUCACCAAGCCAACGAUCUGUAGCUGGUCUGAGAGGACGACCAGCCACACUGGGACUGAGACACGGCCCAGACUCCUACGGGAGGCAGCAGUGGGGAAUUUUGGACAAUGGGCGCAAGCCUGAUCCAGCAAUGCCGCGUGCAGGAAGAAGGCCUUCGGGUUGUAAAAUGCUUUUGUACGGAACGAAACGGCUCUGGAUAAUACCCGGGGCUAAUGACGGUACCGUAAGAAUAAGCACCGGCUAACUACGUG